CUGAUGGAUACACUUCUCUGUAAAUGGUAAUGAAUUCUGCUGCCACCAUCAUCAAUAAAGAUUAAUGAACCCACUCAAGAAGCAGCCAUGCACGCUGUGACACUACCUCCAACAUGCUUGACCAAUAACCGUGUAUGUUUUGAACCAUGAGCAGAUCCAUUCUUUCUACAUACUUUGGCCUUUCCAUUACUUGGGUAAUGGUUAAUCUUGGUUCCAGUCUGGCUUUUUGAUUCUUGUUGCUGAUGAGUCGUUUGCAUCUUGUGCUAUUGCCGCUAUAUUUCUGCUCUCUAAGUCUUCUUCAAAUGGUGGAUUGUGAUAGCUUCACCUCUGCCCUGUUGAGGUUGUUGGUGGUCACUGAAUGUUGUUUUGGGAUUUUUCUUCACAGUUCUCACAAUAUUUCUGUCAUCAAAUGCUGUCGUGUUCCUUGGCCAACCUGUUCCACGGGUGAUUUCUGCAGCGCGGACCAGGCUGAAAUGUCUCCAUCUUCACAAUUCUAUGAUCAGGGAUUUCCUUUGUCACCAUUUCUGUACACCGGCAUCGGGGCUGUGUUAGAAGUCCUGUUGUGUUAAAGAGAAAGAGAGAUGUGACCAGUGGAAAAACAGAGAUUUUCAAAUCGAAGGGAGUUAGACUCUUGUCUUCCCAGAUGGCAGAGAGAUUUGUACGAUGAUUCAUCAACUCCAAUUCUUAUGUCAAAUGUUUUAAAGAUUUUAAUAAAGUUCACCUUAAUUUCAUGCAAUUGUUUAUUUUGUGAGCAUUUUAGUAGAAUUUUAGCAUACAAACAAAUUGCAUUUUAGGAUAAUUGUAGGGAAAAAGUAUAAACAAAUACAUUUUUGUGUUAUCUUCUAACACAUCUUUGUGUGGAAAUGUUUAACACACAGCGUGUGUGCUAACACACUAAUUGUGUUAAAAGUAACA